UACGUAGGUGGCAAGCGUUGUCCGGAAUUAUUGGGCGUAAAGCGCGCGCAGGCGGUCCUUUAAGUCUGAUGUGAAAGCCCACGGCUCAACCGUGGAGGGUCAUUGGAAACUGGGGGGACUUGAGUGCAGAAGAGGAAAGUGGAAUUCCAAGUGUAGCGGUGAAAUGCGUAGAGAUUUGGAGGAACACCAGUGGCGAAGGCGACUUUCUGGUCUGUAACUGACGCUGAGGCGCGAAAGCGUGGGGAGCAAACAGG
rnacentral:rRNA from 1 species